UGUGGUGCAUAUCAAUAAGCGGAGGAAAAGAAACCAACAGGGAUUGCCCCAGUAACGGCGAGUGAAGCGGCAACAGCUCAAAUUUGAAAUCUGGCUCUCGGGCCCGAGUUGUAAUUUGUAGAGGAUGCUUUUGGUGAGGUGCCUUCCGAGUUCCCUGGAACGGGACGCCAUAGAGGGUGAGAGCCCCGUCUGGUUGGACGCCGAACCUCUGUAAAGCUCCUUCGACGAGUCGAGUAGUUUGGGAAUGCUGCUCUAAAUGGGAGGUAUAUGUCUUCUAAAGCUAAAUACCGGCCAGAGACCGAUAGCGCACAAGUAGAGUGAUCGAAAGAUGAAAAGAACUUUGAAAAGAGAGUUAAACAGUACGUGAAAUUGUUGAAAGGGAAGCGCUUGUGACCAGACUUGGGCUUGGUUGAUCAUCCGGGGUUCUCCCCGGUGCACUCUUCCGGCCCAGGCCAGCAUCAGUUCGCCCUGGGGGACAAAGGCAUCGGGAACGUGGCUCUCUCCGGGGAGUGUUAUAGCCCGUUGCGUAAUACCCUGUGGCGGACUGAGGUUCGCGCAUUCGCAAGGAUGCGGCGUAAGUCUCAAC
rnacentral:rRNA from 1 species